AAAGGGAGACCUAAUUCAGGUAUGGGACGAAAAAAAAGUAGUCGCUACCAAGAAUCAAUCCCAAAAGGUCGGAGCGAGGUAUGAGGCUUUCAAACUAGGUUCUGGGUUCAAACAAGACCUGAAUCAGGAACAAGGGCUAUUAGCUCAGGUGGUUAGAGCGCACCCCUGAUAAGGGUGAGGCCCCUGGUUCGAGUCCAGGAUGGCCCACCUGCACAGGUGGCAAAAAAAAGAAAAGAGGCGAGGAAUCAGCACCUUAUCUUAUCUAUAUAUAAGAGAGAAUGCUGGCUCUGAGUACAGAGUCCAGAGGAACCUUGAAAACUGCAUAGAGCUAGGUGAAAAAGCCAAAAAAGAAGACCGCAAG
rnacentral:tRNA from 1 species